rnacentral:rRNA from 1 species
UGGGGAAUUUUGCGCAAUGAGCGAAAGCUUGACGCAGCAACGCCGCGUGAAGGAUGAAAUCCUUCGGGAUGUAAACUUCGUAAGUAUGGGAAGAAAAAAUGACGGUACCAUAUGUAAGCCCCGGCUAACUCCGUGCCAGCAGCCGCGGUAAGACAGAGGGUGCAAGCGUUGUUCGGAAUCACUGGGCGUAAAGGGAGUGUAGGCGGUAAGGUGUGUUCGGCGUGAAAGACCUCGGCUUAACCGGGGAAGUGCACUGAAUACUACCUUACUUGAGUGUGAGAGGGGAUGGCGGAAUUGUCAGUGUAGAGGUGAAAUUCGUAGAUACUGGCAGGAACACCGGAGGCGAAGGCGGCCAUCUGGAUCACAACUGACGCUGAUACUCGAAAGCGUGGGUAGCAAACAGGAUUAGAUACCCCCGUAGUCCCUGAGCGGGCUGGCAAGGCGCAU